UACGGGGGGGGCAAGCGUUGUUCGGAUUUACUGGGCGUAAAGGGCGCGUAGGCGGCCUCCGCAAGUCAGUUGUGAAGUCUCCGAGCUUAACUCGGAAAGGUCAACUGAUACUGCGGGGCUAGAGUGCGGAAGGGGCAACUGGAGUUCUUGGUGUAGCGGUGAAAUGCAUAGAUAUCGAGAGGAACACCUGCGGCGAAGGCGGGUUGCUGGGCUGACACUGACGCUGAGGCGCGAAAGCUAGGGGAGCGAACAGG
rnacentral:rRNA from 1 species